rnacentral:RNase_P_RNA from 1 species
GACUCUGGCCGAGCGAUCGCUUUUGGGAGCUCCUCUUUUGGAGAACCUUAGGGAGGAAAGUCCGGACACUCGGGGACAAUUGGACCGAGUAACGCUCGGGCUUUUUUGGGGAGAGAUCUCUAGAAGGGACGGAAAGUGCAACAGAAAGUAUACCGCCCUCCACGACUUUUUUUUACGAAAAAAAGUGGUGGGAGGUAAGGGUGAAAUGGUGGAGUAAGAGCCCACCUCUUGUGUUUGUAAAAAUUCAGGUAAGGCAAACCCUCCAAUGUGCAAUCUCAAGUAAACAACCGUUAUGAGCCUGUCCCGCCAGGUUGUGGGUAGAGAGCAUAGAUAAAUGGUCGCAUAGAACAGAAUCCGGCUUACGGGCCAGAGUCAUUU